rnacentral:rRNA from 1 species
GUGCCAGCAGCCGCGGUAAUACGGAGGAUCCAAGCGUUAUCCGGAAUCAUUGGGUUUAAAGGGUCCGUAGGCGGUCUAAUAAGUCAGUGGUGAAAUCCUUCCGCUUAACGGGAGAACGGCCAUUGAUACUGUUAGACUUGAAUUAUUAGGAAGUAACUAGAAUAUGUAGUGUAGCGGUGAAAUGCUUAGAGAUUACAUGGAAUACCAAUUGCGAAGGCAGGUUACUACUAAUGGAUUGACGCUGAUGGACGAAAGCGUGGGUAGCGAACAGGAUUAGAAACCCGAGUAGUCC